UACGAAGGGGGCUAGCGUUGUUCGGAAUCACUGGGCGUAAAGCGCACGUAGGCGGGUCUUUAAGUCAGGGGUGAAAUCCUGGAGCUCAACUCCAGAACUGCCUUUGAUACUGAAGAUCUUGAGUUCGGGAGAGGUGAGUGGAACUGCGAGUGUAGAGGUGAAAUUCGUAGAUAUUCGCAAGAACACCAGUGGCGAAGGCGGAC
rnacentral:rRNA from 1 species